AGGCGUAUAGUUCAAUGGAUAGAACAAUGGACUUCUAAGCCAAAGAUGCGGGUUCGAUUCCUGCUACGCCUA
rnacentral:tRNA from 1 species